rnacentral:misc_RNA from 1 species
GAUGAAGAACGUAGCGAAAUGCGAUAAGUAAUGUGAAUUGCAGAAUUCAGUGAAUCAUCGAAUCUUUGAACGCACAUUGCGCCCGGUAGUAAUCUGCCGGGCAUGCCUGUCCGAGCGUCAUUUCAACCCUCGAACCACUAUUCGCGUAGCUGGAUCGGUGUUUGGGCACUACGGUGAAAUACCCGUAGGCCCCGAAAUGAAGUGGCGGUCCCGCCGCGGCGCCCCCAUGCGUAGUAACAUCUCGUCUCGCAUCGGGUCCCGGCGGAGGCCUGCCGUCAAGCCUAUUUUCUAAUUACAGAUGGUUUGACCUCGGAUCAGGUAGGGUUACCCGCUGAACUUAAGCAUAUCAAUAAGCGGAGGA